rnacentral:rRNA from 1 species
UGGGGAAUAUUGCACAAUGGGGGAAACCCUGAUGCAGCGACGCCGCGUGAACGAAGAAGGUAUUCGUAUCGUAAAGUUCUGUCCUAUGGGAAGAUAAUGACAGUACCAUAGAAGAAAGCUCCGGCUAAAUACGUGCCUGCAGCCGCGGUAAUACGUAUGGAGCGAGCGUUGUCCGGAAUUAUUGGGCGUAAAGGGUACGCAGGCGGUUUAAUAAGUCGAAUGUUAAAGAUCGGGGCUCAACCCCGCAAAGCAUUGGAAACUGAUAAACUUGAGUAGUGGAGAGGAAAGUGGAAUUCCUAGUGUAGUGGUGAAAUACGUAGAUAUUAGGAGGAAUACCAGUAGCGAAGGCGACUUUCUGGACACAAACUGACGCUGAGGUACGAAAGCGUGGGGAGCAAACAGG